rnacentral:rRNA from 1 species
UGGGGAAUCUUGCGCAAUGGGCGAAAGCCUGACGCAGCAACGCCGCGUGGGGGAUGAAUGCCUUCGGGUUGUAAACCCCUUUCAGCAGGAACGAAAUUGACGGUACCUGCAGAAGAAGCCCCGGCCAACUACGUGCCAGCAGCCGCGGUAAUACGUAGGGGGCGAGCGUUGUCCGGAUUUAUUGGGCGUAAAGAGCUCGUAGGCGGCUUGGCAAGUCGGGUGUGAAAACUUCAGGCUCAACCUGGAGAUGGCACUCGAUACUGCCAUGGCUAGAGUCCGGUAGGGGACCACGGAAUUCCUGGUGUAGCGGUGAAAUGCGCAGAUAUCAGGAGGAACACCGGUGGCGAAGGCGGUGGUCUGGGCCGGCACUGACGCUGAGGAGCGAAAGCGUGGGGAGCAAACAGG